rnacentral:rRNA from 1 species
AUUGAACGCUGGCGGAAUGCUUUACACAUGCAAGUCGAACGGCAGCACGGGGGCAACCCUGGUGGCGAGUGGCGAACGGGUGAGUAAUACAUCGGAACGUGCCCAGUCGUGGGGGAUAACGUAGCGAAAGUUACGCUAAUACCGCAUACGAUCUAUGGAUGAAAGCGGGGGACCGUAAGGCCUCGCGCGAUUGGAGCGGCCGAUGUCAGAUUAGGUAGUUGGGGGGGUAAAGGCUCACCAAGCCGACGAGCUGUAGCUGGUCUGAGAGGACGACCAGCCACACUGGGACUGAGACACGGCCCAGACUCCUACGGGAGGCAGCAGUGGGGAAUUUUGGACAAUGGGCGCAAGCCUGAUCCAGCCAUUCCGCGUGCAGGAUGAAGGCCCUCGGGUUGUAAACUGCUUUUGUACGGAACGAAACGGUCUGCUCUAAUACAGCGGGCUAAUGACGGUACCGUAAGAAUAAGCACCGGCUAACUACGUGCCAGCAGCCGCGGUAA